rnacentral:sRNA from 1 species
GGAACCUGGGCUCUCAGGCAGAUGGGAUUGGGUACUUUUGCUACUUGCUGAAUAACUCUUGGCCAGUGACUUUAUGUCUGGACCUCAGUUUAUUCAUGUGAAAAAUGGACAUGAUAACAAUAGUCAUUAGAUGGAUGGUCUAGUCUAUGCAGUCGAGUUCUCCCACCGCUCUGGCCGUGACCUCAUUAACUUGGCCAAGAAGAGGACCAACAUCAUUCCUGUGAUCGAGGAUGCUCGACACCCACACAAAUACCGCAUGCUCAUCGCAAUGGUGGAUGUGAUCUUUGCUGAUGUGGCCCAGCCAGACCAGACCCGGAUUGUGGCCCUGAAUGCCCACACCUUCCUGCGUAAUGGAGGACACUUUGUGAUUUCCAUUAAGGCCAACUGCAUUGACUCCACAGCCUCAGCCGAGGCCGUGUUUGCCUCCGAAGUGAAAAAGAUGCAACAGGAGAACAUGAAGCCGCAGGAGCAGUUGACCCUUGAGCCAUACGAAAGAGACCAUGCCGUGGUCGUGGGAGUGUACAGGCCACCCCCCAAGGUGAAGAACUGAAGUUCAGCGCUGUCAGGAUUGCGAGAGAUGUGUGUUGAUACUGUUGCACGUGUGUUUUUCUAUUAAAAGACUCAUCCG